rnacentral:lncRNA from 1 species
UACUGUGGAGGCACACAAAUAUUUUUUAGCAUAUUUAUUUCCAUGUCUGCAUAUCAUAAAAGCAUAAAAAUACUUUGAUCCUGUUAAAAGAUUAAUGGGUAUAAGAAAGUUCUAGACUCUCAAGGCUUAGAGGUUUAUUACUAAUGCUUAAUCAGUUCCACAAGCUUUGUUGUCUAUUUGAACUUCACAAGCUUUAAAGGAUCAAGAAGAAUUAAUAGGCAGAAGGACGUCAUGUCCCCUGUCGGAGUACUGUUUCUAACAGCAAGUAUCCACAACACUCUAGGAAGAUCAGUACGCAUUCACUGUCCGUCAGCAAUCUCAGCAGACUAUGUCAACAUCCAGCUUGGGGGAGAGCAACCCCCGUAUACCGAGCUAAGUAUUUCUUACUUACUUCACUAUUUAUUCCUAAUGUGUUAUGACGAGAUAAAAAGAUGAAUAACUUUUGAAACCUAAUAAAUAUUUUAUCUUUCAUAAUCAAUUUUGCUAGCUAUGGAGAGAUCUUAAGGAAUCUAUUAAAAUGAACCUCUAGGAUAAAUUCUUAUUUGGAGAUGAUAAAUAGUUGCUCUGCCGUAAUUUCUUCCAAGUAUCUAGUUUUCAACCUUGUACUCUACUGAGUUUUAGACACAACUGCUUAGACUUAAGAUUUUGCUCUGAGCCUAAAACUUGUAGGUAGCAAAUGCUUGAUCUAAGUCUAGGUAGUUGACGGAUAUGAUAAGGGAAGGUUUUAAGCGGCUAUCAAUCUUGCUCCUAGAGAUACUAGAGUUCUAGAGAAUUUUAUUUUGAAAAUUAUAAUUUGCUACAUGAUGAGUUCCUUUAUGAUGAGAGUUUAAAUGCCUACCAUAGCCAAAUACUCAUGCUUGCUAGAUUAGGAAAACUUCCACUUAUAUUUCAACCUAUAAGCAUUGAGGGUAGUUAAGCUGUGUAGACUCUAAGGAACUAAUCGUGCAGUUAAAGUCAAUAUUAUGUGCUCUCCAUCCAUUGAUCUUAGCUACUUAGAAAAUGUUCUACUCCUACACUGGGAGGAAUACCCAAAAAUAUCCAUUGCUAUGAUGUCUAUUUCUACUUAGAUCAAGCAUUAAAAAGGGUUGGCUGAUCUCUAAAAAAUGAAAAAAGAAGGUUAUUUCAGUUAUUUCAAUAAAGCUCCAGUUAUUUUAGUUGAUAGUCCCUGUCGUUAUCAGUGCAUUAAAAGGGUUGGCUGAUCUCUAAAAAAAUGAAAAAAGAAAGAAAAAGGACAAAAGACCCAAUGCAAAAGAAAAGAAAGACAGCCCAGUCCUUAUUCUCAGAUUAGGGAGGUAUGUUAUCCCGAAGGAGCAAUAUGUAGAAUUAGAUAUUCACCAUCAGUUAUCACCCUUCACCAUUAUCACCCCUUUCAUUCUUAUCACAUCACUUCACUUGACUCACAUACACAUAUGACUUGAUUUUAUCAUUAGAUUCUCUAGAUCCACGGUUUAACUAUGUAAUACAUGUAAGUAGGUUUGAAUAGUCUUUCCCAACUAUGAGCUCCACAUAAGCCAUUUAGAUGUAGGGUGAAUGAGAGAAGGCAACUAUGCUUUAGUCCUACAAAAUACCACAUAUUCUGAGAGCAGAGAGAAGGCAUACUCACUUGCUUUGGAGGGGAUCCAAAAAUACCACAUCUAGCUUGGCGGAGAGCAACCCCCGUACACUGAGCUAAGUAUCUCUUACUCACUUAUCUAUUUAUUCGUAGUGUGUUAUUAUUGAUGGUAGAUAAGUACUCUUUUUAACCGUCAAUAUAGCAUGAGAAAUGACUUAAGUCAGAAUAUUAUCCAGCUAUAGGGGUUAUCACUAACAAAAUUCCCAAGUUUUGGUGAUUGUCUAUUUCUACAUGGUGUUAUCGGAAUAAGAACAAAAGGAGGUCCACAUGUCAGAUUUACAUAGAGAGAAUACAUGAAACGUCAACUCAGGAAUACUCUAGAAGGUUCGAGAAGACACCACCUGAAAGGUGGGGCCCACCUGCCAUAGGGCAGGGGCGGGCGCCCCACACUAUAAGGGGUGGCGCACAUUUAAGUCAAUGAGAUUCAUUCUCGUGGAUUCUGCCUCCACCGACUUCGAGGAUUAAUCUUAAGCGCACAUUUAAGUCGGUUUGAUCCAAGGGUUGUGGAGCUUCCUAGGAGGCUAUAAUUAAAGACCCUGACCCCAUGGAGGAGGAGUUCAUAAUUAUUCUCUAAGAAGAUCAAGGGAAGAAUUAGAUAGAGAGGGGUCCCUCGAAUGGAUCUGUCUCUAUAGGUUCUUAGCCACCAUCUCAAUUAGAUAUCUAUAGUUCUUUAGC